UAGAUUGAAGCCAGGUGAUUAUGGUAUUUAGCUGUUAACUAAAAUUUCGUGGGGUUGGAGCCCACCAGUCUAG
ensembl:Mt_tRNA